rnacentral:lncRNA from 1 species
UAGCUAUUGGAGUUCCAUAUAAUGUGAAAAGGCAAUAGUCAUUUAUUAAGCCCCUGCUGUUUGGGCUAGGUGCUAGAGACGAAAAUACAAAAGCUGAACAGUCCCUGCUCUCAAAGAACUUACACUCCACUAAGGCGAGACAGUCUGUACACAGUAAAUUUGGAACAUAUACUAAAUAAAUAUACCUGUGCCAGAAAAAAUAGGUGAUUUUAAGAACUGCCCUCUUUGAUUAGGAAUUCUCAUUGGGGUUAAUAAGAUGUCAAUUCCGUAUCAGUUAUGUUUCUCUGCUAAAUAAGAGAGUUAAAAGAGAAGAAAUUCUGUUACAAUGAAAAGGAAAAAGGAGCCAGAGUAUAUAGACUCUUUGGGAUUAGACUUAUCUUGUGACUUAGCAUCAUGCCAUGCUCUAUUUGCUGGCGGUCUGGGAUAAAGACUCACCAGAGGUAGUAUUAGAGGAUUUAAGAAGAAACUCCCUGUGACUCUAUGAUGGAAAGACUCUGCCCUUGCUGUCAGUGGAAGCUGUCCAUAAUACUAUAUAUCCAAAAGACUGGUGAUAUUGCACAAUUGCACAAUGGGAUUCUAGAAGGCACUGCUCCCAAGGGGGAAGGGCAGUAGGGCAAUGAACCAUCAAAAUGAGACCUGGAGGCAAAGCCAUAAUUGGAAAUCAUUCUACACAGAGCAAGGAGAGCUUCAUGCAGUUCAAAUAAACUCUGGUCUACAAAUAGAGAGUCAGAAGUCCUGCUCACAGGAGUUUGCUUGUAUCCUGAAGCAUCGGUCCAGAGGUGCAUGGCCAAAGCCUCUGGACGUAAGAGAGGAAAUAUCUUAAUAACCACCCCAAAUGGACUCAAAGCUGGAGCCAACUCAGCAGAAAAUAAUAGCAAGGAACUACUUGAGUUCUUCCUGAAUGCAGAAAAAUAGCAGGCCUAUUAAAGUUGCAUGGGAAAACAGCCGAGUGCUUACCAGGGAACGACAUUCCAAAGACUGAGCUUGAGCCUGCAGACUCAUCAAAUAAAUGUUUACAGACAAAAUGUAAAGUCUUUUCU